CACCGAUUCUGAACACCUCAAGAGAUACAACGCUGUUAUUGGUAACGGUGUGCCCCUUGAGGUGUUUAGAAUGAUGGUGUA
rnacentral:pre_miRNA from 1 species